rnacentral:lncRNA from 1 species
CAGUGACUCACAUUACUCUCAGAUAAAUAGCACGUGUCCUCCUUUUCCAUAAUUCAGUUUGUAUUUCUCCAUCAGUAAAACCUUCCGUGAACUUGCACCAACACAACUCCUGGAGGAGUCCCGCAGGCGCUCAGACCCCGCAGCUCCCAGGAAGCCUCCUGCAGGCACACGGAGCCGCUCACCGCUGCUCAGCGGAUCCAGACAGCACAGAGCUUGCCGCAACACAGUCCUUCCCCUUCCCACCGAGAUGUCCCUGCAAACGUCGCUCUAGCUACUGCCCGAAUACAGCAAGCACUUUAUAAAGAAGACUCACGCCGGUAACCUGUGUAAUGUCACAAUAACCAUCGGAAUUCCAUAAUCACCUUGUUUAACCUUCUUUUAGGCAGACUGCAAGGAGAAGAGCUAUGCCAUUUCGAAGAUACACCAGAGAAGGCUAAGUCUACUGCAGAACGCACACAAACGCGGGGCACCUCAUCUCACCCGGUGCUCACUGUUCUGAGAGCAGCCCCAGCUCCCAGACCGCCGUGCUUUCAGAGACCGAGUACUGCGACCACACGGGCACGCUGCGUUCCGGCUGCGGGACGGGACCGCCGGCACCGGGACCCGAAGGGCUGCAGAGCACCCGACACGGCUCGCGGUGCGAAGCAGAGGGAGCGCCCCAGCGGGCUCGGUGCGGGGAACCGGCACCCAGCAGCCAACUCCCGAGACACGGCGAGACCUGCCCAGUUAGAGCUGGCUGCUCGGGGCAUGGAGACCCCACCCUGGGUUGGUGUCCCCGAAUGGCCGCGCCGCCCGCCUUCACGUCUCCUCAGCCCAGCUUACGUUGGUGCCGCGGGAGAGAUGCGUCCUCACCUUGUCCUCUCGGCUCCCAAAUGCAUUUGUAUGCAUUUGCCCGGGCAACGGAGGUCCGAGGGAAAGCCAGAGCCGAACACCGCGUCGCCGGAGCCUCAGGGAUGGCAACUCCACCACCUCCCAGGGCAGCCUGUUCCAACACCUCACCAAAGAAAGAUUCACUUCUCCACUUUCUUACCAGACAACAGGGUCUGUAUGCAUGGAGGGCUACCAUGAGCCUGCAGCUUUUUCUGGCCUCAGACAUAACCUAGCAGCAGGGGAAGCACACUAUGCAGGGGUGUGCCAGAGCGCUUUCCACAGCAGCCCAUCCAGAGCUGGAGAGUAAUAAGGUAAGUGGAGGUAGGUGCUGGCUGUGCUGCCAGUCUCUGUCCUGAACAAAACACGAUAAUGAAGCACUGACACUAACACUGUGGGUCUCCAUGGGACACAAAACACACACACGGUCAUGUUUCAUCUCAUUCAAUGUCUUCAUCUCCAGAGCUGCUCGACACAGUGACAGCAGAUAAUUGUAUUGUGGCAGCCUAGCACUUUGAAACCUUGCAGGCGUCUUUAUUUUCUUAUUAUCAUAGCACUGCAAUACAGUUUCUUACCACAACUGCUUCCUUCCCAGUUUACUAAGUAUUGGAAAUGCAAAAAGCUUGAUGGAUGUUGGCACUUGGAAUUGUUACCUUUUUUAAUGUAUUGUAGUCCUUAAGGCUUAAGAGCUGAUCAUCCAAACAAUACUAGCUGUGUUGUGAUUGCUUCUUUAGUGCUUGAUUGUUUUGAUUGACAUUUUUACCACCACACUAUUUUCUACUACACAUGCUUNAAAAGGCUGUGGCUUGUACACUAAAAACAAGGAGAAAUCCAUGUAAGUUUUGACAAGCUCCC